rnacentral:rRNA from 2 species
AGGGAAUCGUCGAAGGUGGGACUGGCGAUUGGGACGAAGUCGUAACAAGGUAGCCGUACCGGAAGGUGCGGCUGGAUCACCUCCUUUCUAAGGAG